rnacentral:rRNA from 1 species
GAGACAGCAGCCGCCGCGGUAAUACGAAGGGUGCAAGCGUUAAUCGGAAUUACUGGGCGUAAAGCGUGCGUAGGCGGUGAGUUAAGUCUGCUGUGAAAUCCCCGGGCUCAACCUGGGAAUGGCAGUGGAUACUGGCUCGCUAGAGUGUGUCAGAGGAUUGUGAAUUCCCGGUGUAGCGGUGAAAUGCGUAGAGAUCGGGAGGAACAUCAGUGGCGAAGGCGGCCAUCUGGGACAACACUGACGCUGAGGCACGAAAGCGUGGGGAGCAAACAGGAUUAGAUACCCCCGUAGUCCCUGUCUCUUAUACA